UACGGGAGGCAGCAGUAGGGAAUCUUCCGCAAUGGACGAAAGUCUGACGGAGCAACGCCGCGUGAGUGAUGAAGGCUUUCGGGUCGUAAAACUCUGUUGUUAGGGAAGAACAAGUGCUAGUUGAAUAAGCUGGCACCUUGACGGUACCUAACCAGAAAGCCACGGCUAACUACGUGCCAGCAGCCGCGGUAAUACGUAGGUGGCAAGCGUUAUCCGGAAUUAUUGGGCGUAAAGCGCGCGCAGGUGGUUUCUUAAGUCUGAUGUGAAAGCCCACGGCUCAACCGUGGAGGGUCAUUGGAAACUGGGAGACUUGAGUGCAGAAGAGGAAAGUGGAAUUCCAUGUGUAGCGGUGAAAUGCGUAGAGAUAUGGAGGAACACCAGUGGCGAAGGCGACUUUCUGGUCUGUAACUGACACUGAGGCGCGAAAGCGUGGGGAGCAAACAGGAUUAGAUACCCUGGUAGUCCACGCCGUAAACGAUGAGUGCUAAGUGUUUAGAGGGUUUCCGCCCUUUAGUGCUGAAGUUAACGCAUUAAGCACU
rnacentral:rRNA from 1 species